rnacentral:rRNA from 1 species
AACGAACGCUGGCGGCAGGCUUAACACAUGCCAGUCGAGCGCCCCGCCAGGGGAGCGGCAGACGGGUGAGUAACGCGUGGGAACGUACCUUUUGGUUCGGAACAACUCCGGGAAACUGGAGCUAAUACCGGAUAAGCCCUAACGGGGAAAGAUUUAUCGCCGAAAGAUCGGCCCGCGUCUGAUUAGCUAGUUGGUGAGGUAACGGCUCACCAAGGCGACGAUCAGUAGCUGGUCUGAGAGGAUGAUCAGCCACACUGGGACUGAGACACGUCCCAGACUCCUACGGGAGGCAGCAGUGGGGAAUAUUGGACAAUGGGCGCAAGCCUGAUCCAGCCAUGCCGCGUGAGUGAUGAAGGCCUUAGGGUUGUAAAGCUCUUUUGUCCGGGAAGAUAAUGACUGUACCGGAAGAAUAAGCCCCGGCUAACUUCGUG